rnacentral:lncRNA from 1 species
GGAGGAAUGACUAGUCAUCCUGUCGAUGAUCGGCGCAUGAUGGGUGUUGGGGGAAUGGAUGGCCGGAGUGUUGGAUAUGGUGGUGGAAGGCCUGAACCUCCUCUUGGGGGAAUGGAUGGCCGGAGUGUUGGAUAUGGUGGUGGAAGGCCUGAACCUCCUCUUCCUCAAGAUGCCUCAAACACAUUAUUUGUGGAGGGCCUUCCUGCAAACUGCACCCGCAGGGAAGUCUCUCGUAUCCUUGUACCUAUCUCCUUGUAACAUUUUGUCAAGUAUUUUCUCUUCUGCUGUUGUUCCUUAAUUUCUUUCUGCAGAUA